rnacentral:lncRNA from 1 species
GCCCAUUUAUUCAAUAAUGAAAAAUACCAUUAUUUUCACAUUCCCACCUAAUGUCUUCUGUUUUCUUCCAUCGUCAUUUAGCUCAGCUGGGAAUUAGGCAUAUUCCUUAGUUAUGCUUUAAAAAAUAGCUAGUAUCGUUAUGAAAUAGCAAUAUCUUUUGUGAACAACUGGACUUACUCCACAGGAAGACAGCUGAGGGUGCUAAGGUGCUUCUAAGGUUUAUGUUGGACCCUUCUUUCUUUUCCUUUCCCAUUUUCGGCACAACGUUUAGGUUUUCAGCACACCAGCAUCCGGAGUUCUCUCUCUAUAUACACAUUUUUUUUUCCUUUACUAUCUUCUAUAAAAGGAGCCUGCUAUUGAUUGCAGCGGACUGAGCUGCUUGAGUUGAUAUCUAAGCAACGCUAACCCAGAUAGGGUUUAACAUUACAUCAGCCGUCAGGCGAGGGAGCCUGGCAGCAGGCCAGCCUGUAAAAACGGAAUGUGUUUGCGUCACUGUUCCCUUGGUAAUGCUUCUUGGAGCCUUGUCAGCUGUCCCCUGAGGUUGUUUCUUUAAUAUGUCAACAGACAUUCCUGAAUCUUUAAUGCUGAAUAGCUCUUUUCCUUUUCCAAAAACACUUAGGUGACCAAGCAUCUGGUGCAUCCUGUUGCUAUGAUCUUUUAAAAUGUAUUUCUUUCAUGAAAAAGGUGUUUGUUCUAUUCAAAACAUUCUGGGGGAUUUAAGAAGGUUUAGAUUUCUGUUUCUCCAUGUUAGAGGACCUAUUUUUGAAGAAACAGGGCAGCCAGCUUAGUGCUGAGAGCUGCUUCUCUGCUUUUAUCUUCCUUAGGAAAAGCCCUUAUUCCCUCACCAGCUUAUCCAGACCCUCCAAUUAUCCUGUUACAGUGUGACAUUUCAUAGAACAGAACAGCUGGUUGAAAGACCCGGCUGGAAUUUGCCCCCAUUUAUGAUUCGCUCUCUGACCUUGCUCGAAGACAGUCGGCGAGACAGAAGAACACGUGGGCAGUGACCUUGAGCAUCCCCUUCUUACUGAGGGCCACAAAUGAGAAAGAUUUGUCAAACGUUGCCCACGUGAAAUCUAUUUCCUCAUUUGCUCAACGUCUGUAUUUGCCGUCCUAGUAACUUGAUCUUCACUUUCAUCUUGGGAUAUUUUACAUUGAGAAGCACUGUAUCCAAGAGGGUGAAGGGAGCCUCAACUAGCAUCCUUUCCUGCUCCCUCUGCAAGUAAAUGUACUCACUGAAGUUGGGUCCUUUUCCCCCGUGCAACCACCUCCAGAUUGUUGUGCAGUUGCUAUAGUGGUCAGUCACAGUCAAUAGUUGGAACAGCUUAAAUUUGGAAAGGAGUCAUUUGGUUUUGAGGGGGUUGGGUCAGGGGUGUUAUUAAAUUCACGUAGUCAUGAGUGACCAUGAUGGAGUAACUGAGAGAAAAGCCACUUGUCCCUGUGUGAGCACCAGACUCCACUCUCUGAGGGGCACCUUUCACCACCAGCUGCAGGGGGUUGCGGGUCUCGGCCUUUGGAAACACGCUAAGAGCCCUGAGAGUCUGCGGCCACCGAUUCUGCCUCUGGGCUGGGUCUCUGGGAGCCACUUCCUCCUUCCGCCAACUGAUGUCACAAUCCCGUUUCUGUUCCGCACUUCCUGUGUUCUCAGUGCCCGUCCUCCUGGGAGCUCCUCCAUCAUCCCCACUGAAGAAGGUCCCCACUGGUUCACUGGAGGAGAGUGGCAAUGGAGCUGCCCAGAAGGGGAGAGAUUUCGAAUCACUGGAGUUUAGAAUUGAAAGGAAUUCUUAGAGAUUUAGUGAAACCCAAGCUCCUCAUUCAUUUUAGGAAUGAGAUGUCCGAGGGCCAGAGAGGUUAAAAGAGUUCGCAGUUCAGGCCCUGUCCAGUGGAGGGAGAGGCUCGAGGACCAUUAAGGCCACGUGCAGCCAGGAAGUGAGCAGGAAGAAUGGGGUCCAACUCCAGGGCGUGUCGCCUGAACACAUUUCUCUUUUGCCUCACUUAGCUGGGUGCCCACAAGGGCACUUUCGUGUCUGCACUCUACUUAGACUGGCCAGCGCACCCUGUCCCCACACUGCACUUGUCCCCUGAUGGGACUCGAGAAGCAGCAAGGGGCAGCCCAGCAGUGGGUGAGGGGCCAGAGGCAGAGAACCUGGAUGGUGCUGGGGACAGCAUUUAACUAUACUCUCUAUGCCUUUCCUUUGGGAGCUAAGGGGAAAAAAUAACAUAGACACACAUAAGAAGGUGUGAAGGGGCCUUUUAACCCUCACAUAGGGCUUGCAUAUCCAGAAUAAGUUUUCCUCGUUCUUCUCUUCUUCCCUUUCCCCAAACGCCAUGCAUGCCCCAUGGACCAGUAUGGCGCAUAGCCGUCUGAGCCUGGUAACUAUGGUUCAAAGCAAAGACUUUGGGGUCUGACCACCUGAGUUUCAAUCCAGGCUCUACCACUCGAUAGUUGUAUGAUCUUGGGCAAGAUUUUAUCCUCUCUUAAGCCUCAGUUUCCUCAUGUGGAAAAUGGAGAUAACACUAGUUAGUUUAAGGAAUACUGUAGGGGUGGCCGGGUGGCACAGCGGUUAAGUGCACAUGUUCCACUUUGGGGGCCCGGGGUUCGCCGGUUCGGAUCCUGGGUGUGGACAUGGCACCGCUUGGCAAGCCAUGCUGUGGUAGGCAUCCCACGUAUAAAGUAGAGGAGGAUGGGCACAGAUGUUAGCUCAGGGUUAGUCUUCCUCAGCAAAAAGAGGUGGAUUGGCAGCAGAUGUUAGCUCAGGGCUAAUCUUCCUCAAAAAAAAAAAAAGAAAGAAAAAAAUAUUGUAAGGAUUAAACAAGAUAAAGUCUGCAGUGUCCUCUGCAAAGUUCCUGAUACAAAGUGAUCAGUACCCCCAGUCACUGCUGUCAUCGUCACAUAUAGAAACUUUGGAGAGAAUUCUCAAGGCAAUUGAUAAAUGCAAAUCUUUUCAGUUAGGGAGAACACAUCAUUAAUGAAUGCAUCAGCUUGGUGAGCAGGAAGGGCUGCUCGAGACAAGGAGACAGGGUGGUGGAAACAACGCAAAUUACCUAGACCUCGACCGAGCUGCACAUCACUGUAAGUCCCAGACAAAGGCUAGAGCCAGCUUGUCCUCUCCGGGGAGACCAAAAGCCUACUUUUAAUGGCCUAUAGCCCUGGCUGUGGGCACCUGGUUCUAUCAUGCAGUCUAACCCUUGCACGUGGCUGGGGAAAGAGCUAAGCACAGAAGCAAUAAUGGUCAGAGGUUCACGGUGUGUUACAGUUUAGAGAGGGCUUGCCUGAGCUCUGUAGAAUAGAUGACAUGGUGUUUUAUUCUGUUGCCUUGUUACAGAUGAAAAAACAAAUUGUUAGGCUAAAUGACUCGUCUCAGAUUGAAGAGUGAAUAUUAAGAGUUAGGCCUUGACUCCUGUCCUUUCUUAUAAAGUCCUUCCCUUAAUAAACACAUACACACAUAUGCAUGCACACAUGCACACACACAGGGUGAGUUUCGUGUGGGCACGAUGCAUGCCAGGAAGACUUGGCAGUCGCACUCACCGGUGCCGGGUCUGUGCUCGCUGGCUCCACUUCCCCAGGAAUCUUUAGCACACAGAGAGGUGACUGCAGAGGCCCAGCUCAGGGCUCACGGGCCCAAGGAUCAGACAAAUGGCCCAGGAUCCAGGCCUUUCAUUCCCCUCAAAGGGACUGGGGCUGACAGACGGCACAGGAAAAACUGGAAUGUCCCCUUUUGUGUUUCCCAAUGUAUUCUUUGCCAUCAUGACAACAGAGAGUGGGCUGAUUUGGGAAUAAACCUUUCUCUCUCAAGCUCUGGAAUGAGUCAUCUGGCAAUUAGCUUCAGGUGGAAUACAAAAGUUUCUUGUCACCUGCGGAAGCCCUGGUCUUUAGAAAGCAGGUGGGGUUUUUGCUUGUUUCUGUUUUGUUUUUGCCCUUCUCCUCCAUUCCCCCGUGGCGGUCACGUGGGGAUUCACCUACUGCACGCGUGCUGUGCAGAUCUAGUCUGCAUGCCUACCUAUACGUUAGGCUCAGCCUGGAGGGCCCUGGGAUGUCUUCUCUCCAUUGCUCUCCCAGUUUCUCUACACUCAGUUGCGGCUUUGCCUCCCAGAGUGAGCGCGGGUCGGCCCCAAUGCUCUCAGAGGCUCCUCUGCGUUUCCCGUGGUGCCAAGGGAAAGACUUCACCUGGGAACACUUGGAACAUGUUUUGAGGGUGACUUUUCAUUCUUUGUGUUCUCUAUAGAUUUUAGGGGUUUCUUGUACUCCUUUGGGGAUAAAAAUCACUACAAUAAAACCGUAAAUCUUUUUAUGUCUAUGAUAUCUGUGC